UGCCCACUGAUAAUUAAUUAAAGGGCUGCAGUAUUUUGACUGUACAAAGGUAGCAUAAUCAUUAGUCAUUUAAUUGGUGACUUGUAUGAAAGAUUGGAUGAAAUAUAAACUGUCUUAAUUUUAAAAUUUAAAAUUUAAUUAUUUAGUUAAAAAGCUAAAAUAUAAAUAGAAAGACGAGAAGACCCUAUAGAGUUUAAUUUUAAUUUAGAUUAAUAAUAUUUUUUAUUAAGUUAAAUUAUAAUUUAUUUUAAAAUUUUGUUGGGGUGAUAAAAAAAUUUAAUUAACUUUUUUUUUUCAUUAACAUAAAUAAGUGAUUUUUUGAUCCAAUAAAUAUUGAUUAUAAGAAAAAAUUACCUUAGGGAUAACAGCGUAAUUUUUUUUUUUAGUUCUUAUAAAAAAGAGAGUUUGCGACCUCGAUGUUGGAUUAAGAUAAAAUUUAAAUGUAGAAGUUUAAAGUUUUGA
rnacentral:rRNA from 1 species